rnacentral:rRNA from 1 species
AGAGUUUGAUCCUGGCUCAGGAUGAACGCUGGCGGCGUGCUUAACACAUGCAAGUCGAACGGGAAAUACUUUAUUGAAACUUCGGUCGAUUUAAUUUAUUUCUAGUGGCGGACGGGUGAGUAACGCGUGGGUAACCUGCCUUAUACUGGGGGAUAACAGCCAGAAAUGACUGCUAAUACCGCAUAAGCGCACAGAACCGCAUGGUUCGGUGUGAAAAACUCCGGUGGUAUAAGAUGGACCCGCGUUGGAUUAGCUAGUUGGCAGGGCAGCGGCCUACCAAGGCGACGAUCCAUAGCCGGCCUGAGAGGGUGAACGGCCACAUUGGGACUGAGACACGGCCCAAACUCCUACGGGAGGCAGCAGUGGGGAAUAUUGCACAAUGGGCGAAAGCCUGAUGCAGCGACGCCGCGUGAGCGAAGAAGUAUUUCGGUAUGUAAAGCUCUAUCAGCAGGGAAGAUAAUGACGGUACCUGACUAAGAAGCACCGGCUAAAUACGUGCCAGCAGCCGCGGUAAUACGUAUGGUGCAAGCGUUAUCCGGAUUUACUGGGUGUAAAGGGAGCGCAGGCGGUGCGGCAAGUCUGAUGUGAAAGCCCGGGGCUCAACCCCGGUACUGCAUUGGAAACUGUCGUACUAGAGUGUCGGAGGGGUAAGCGGAAUUCCUAGUGUAGCGGUGAAAUGCGUAGAUAUUAGGAGGAACAUCAGUGGCGAAGGCGGCUUACUGGGCUUUAACUGACGCUGAGGCUCGAAAGCGUGGGGAGCAAACAGGAUUAGAUACCCUGGUAGUCCACGCCGUAAACGAUGAUUACUAGGUGUGGGGGGACUGACCCUUUCCGUGCCGCAGCAAACGCAAUAAGUAAUCCACCUGGGGAGUACGACCGCAAGGUUGAAACUCAAAGGAAUUGACGGGGGCCCGCACAAGCAGUGGAGUAUGUGGAUUAAUUCGAAGCAACGCGAAGAACCUUACCAGGUCUUGACAUCGUAUGCAUAGCUCAGAGAUGAGUGAAAUCUCUUCGGAGACAUAUAGACAGGUGGUGCAUGGUUGUCGUCAGCUCGUGUCGUGAGAUGUUGGGUUAAGUCCCGCAACGAGCGCAACCCCUAUCCUCAGUAGCCAGCAUUUAAGGUGGGCACUCUGGGGAGACUGCCAGGGAUAACCUGGAGGAAGGCGGGGAUGACGUCAAAUCAUCAUGCCCCUUAUGAUUUGGGCUACACACGUGCUACAAUGGCGUAAACAAAGGGAAGCGAGAUUGUGAGAUGGAGCAAAUCCCAAAAAUAACGUCCCAGUUCGGACUGUAGUCUGCAACCCGACUACACGAAGCUGGAAUCGCUAGUAAUCGCGGAUCAGAAUGCCGCGGUGAAUACGUUCCCGGGUCUUGUACACACCGCCCGUCA